rnacentral:misc_RNA from 1 species
AACCAUAGAAACCUGCGGAGUACCUGCGGAAGGAUCAUCAUCGAAUUCAUAUCCCUCCAAUUCCGGAGGGGGACCCAUGAUAAACCCUUCUGUGCAUCGUAAACCGUUCACUUUGGCUGGUUUUGGUGGUGAGCGUGAGCUCGUCUCCAACCUCGCGUUCUCUCCCCCUAAGGGGGGUGGUGUUACGCGUGGCGGCCUGCCGAAGUCCUCCCAUUAAAAACACGUUUUCGAACACGUCUG